rnacentral:rRNA from 1 species
GGGCCCGCACAAGCGGCGGAGCAUGCGGAUUAAUUCGAUGCAACGCGAAGAACCUUACCAAGGCUUGACAUACACCGGAAUCAUGCAGAGAUGUGUGCGUCUUCGGACUGGUGUACAGGUGGUGCAUGGUUGUCGUCAGCUCGUGUCGUGAGAUGUUGGGUUAAGUCCCGCAACGAGCGCAACCCUCGUUCCAUGUUGCCAGCACUUCGGGUGGGGACUCAUGGGAGACUGCCGGGGUCAACUCGGAGGAAGGUGGGGAUGACGUCAAAUCAUCAUGCCCCUUAUGUCUUGGGCUUCACGCAUGCUACAAUGGCCGGUACAGAGGGUUGCGAAACCGUGAGGUGGAGCUAAUCCCAAAAAACCGGUCUCAGUUCGGAUUGGGGUCUGCAACUCGACCCAUGAAGUCGGAGUCGCUAGUAAUCG